AUAUUUCUUUCUUUCCUGGCAACUUGCUGCAGACCGGCGACCGGUGGCCCAUGGACUGGCACCGGUCUUCGGAUCACCACUUUGAGAAGCACUGCCCUAGAGGACACCAGAUUUAGUCC